GGACUGUAGGCUGCAACUCGCCUACACGAAGCUGGAAUCGCUAGUAAUCGCGGAUCAGCACGCCGCGGUGAAUACGUUCCCGGGCCUUGUACACACCGCCCGUCACACCAUGAGAGUCUGUAACACCCAAAGCCGGUGGGAUAACCUUUAUAGGAGUCAGCCGUCUAAGGUAGGACAGAUGAUUAGGGUGAAGUCGUAACAAGGUACC
rnacentral:rRNA from 1 species